UGAUGCAUAGUGCAUCAGGUGG
rnacentral:siRNA from 1 species